rnacentral:tRNA from 1 species
GGGGAUGUAGCUCAGCUGGAAGAGCACCUGCUUUGCAAGCAGGGGGUCGGCGGUUCGAAUCCGCUCAUCUCCA